rnacentral:rRNA from 1 species
GUAAGGAAUAUUGGUCAAUGGACGAAAGUCUGAACCAGCCAUGCCGCGUGAAGGAUGAAGGCCCUCUGGGUUGUAAACUUCUUUUAUCUGGGACGAAAAAAGGGUAUUCUUACUCACUUGACGGUACCAGAGGAAUAAGCACCGGCUAACUCCGUGCCAGCAGCCGCGGUAAUACGGAGGGUGCAAGCGUUAUCCGGAUUCACUGGGUUUAAAGGGUGCGUAGGUGGGUAUUUAAGUCAGUGGUGAAAUCUCCGAGCUUAACUCGGAAACUGACAUUGAUACUAUUUACCUUGAAUGCCCUGGAGGUAAGCGGAAUAUGUCAUGUAGCGGUGAAAUGCUUAGAUAUGACAUAGAACACCAAUUGCGAAGGCAGCUUACUACGGGGUGAUUGACACUGAGGCACGAAAGCGUGGGGAGCAAACAGGAUUAGAUACCCGUGUAGUCC